rnacentral:rRNA from 1 species
UACGGAGGGUGCAAGCGUUGUUCGGAAUCACUGGGCGUAAAGGGCGUGUAGGCGGUCUAUCAAGUCUGGUGUGAAAUCCCCUCGCUCAACGAGGGAACUGCGCCGGAAACUGACAGACUAGAGUACCGGAGAGGAAGGUGGAAUUCUCGGUGUAGCGGUGAAAUGCGUAGAUAUCGGGAGGAACACCGGUGGCGAAGGCGGCCUUCUGGACGGAUACUGACGCUGAUACGCGAAAGCGUGGGGAGCAAACAGG